UAUGCAUUUGUGAUGUCUGUUAUUUCAGAUGACAGAUUUGAAGAUCUUGAAGAAGCAAAUCCAUUCUCCUUUAAAGAGUUUCUGAAGACCAAGAACCUCGGCCUGUCAAAAGAGGAUCCGGCCAGCAGAAUUUAUGCAAAGGAAGCCUCGAGGCAUUUACUGGGACUUGACCACAACUCCCCACCCUCCCAAACCGGGGGGUAUGGCCUGGAGUAUCAGCAGCCAUUUUUCGAGGACCCGACAGGGGCCGGUGACCUUCUGGAUGAGGAGGAGGAUGAGGACACCCAAUGGAGUGGGGCCUACCUGCCGUCUGCCAUCGAGCAGACUCACCCCGAGAGGGUCCCUGCCGGCACGUUGCCCUGCAGCACAUACCUUUCUUUUUUCUCCACCCCGUCGGAGCUGGCAGGGCGUGAGUCUCUGCCCUCGUGGGCGUUGAGUGACACUGAUUCUCGCGUGUCUCCGGCCUCUCCGGCAGGGAGUCCUAGCGCAGACUUUGCGGCUCAUGGAGAGUCUCUGGGAGACAGGCACCUGCGGACACUGCAGAUAAGUUACGAAGCAGUAAGUGAGCCUUGCGGCGCCCUCUGGCACAGCGCCUGUCCGAGCGGCUUCUCCCGGGGAGAACCUGGAGCCAUCCUACCUCCUGGGCGGCCUGGUUUGAUCUCCGGGACAAGACGACUUGCGUGACA
rnacentral:sRNA from 1 species